GCUGUGGAUAGGGGUGAAAGGCUAAACAAAUCCGGAAAUAGCUGGUUCUCCCCGAAAACUAUUUAGGUAGUGCGUCUUAUAUCACUGACGGGGGUAAAGCACUGUUAUGGCUAGGGGGUCAUCGCGACUUACCAAACCAUGGCAAACUCUGAAUACCGUCAAGUGCGAGUAAGGCAGACAGACAGUGGGUGCUAACGUCCAUUGUCAAGAGGGAAACAACCCAGACCGCCAGCUAAGGUCCCCAAGACACAGUUAAGUGGGAAACGAAGUGGGAAGGCAUAGACAGCUAGGAGGUUGGCUUAGAAGCAGCCACCCUUUAAAGAAAGCGUAAUAGCUCACUAGUCGAGUCGUCCUGCGCGGAAGAUGUAACGGGGCUCAAACUGUGCACCGAAGCUGCGGAUAUCGAAAGAUAUGGUAGGGGAGCGUUCUGUAGGUCUGUGAAGGUGUCUUGUAAAGGAUGCUGGAGAUAUCAGAAGUGCGAAUGCUGACAUGAGUAGCGAUAAAGGGAGUGAAAAGCU
rnacentral:rRNA from 1 species